UCACUGUGAUGACGAUUAUUCCUGCCAUUCGUAGUUUCCACCAGAGGUUGAAAGACCAAAGAUGGCCAAAUCCUUCCUUGGAUGUCUGAGUGA
ensembl:snoRNA SNORD14 Small nucleolar RNA SNORD14